CCUACGGGAGGCAGCAGUGGGGAAUAUUGCACAAUGGGCGAAAGCCUGAUGCAGCGACGCCGCGUGAGGGAUGACGGCCUUCGGGUUGUAAACCUCUUUCAGCAGGGAAGAAGCGAGAGUGACGGUACCUGCAGAAGAAGCGCCGGCUAACUACGUGCCAGCAGCCGCGGUAAUACGUAGGGCGCAAGCGUUGUCCGGAAUUAUUGGGCGUAAAGAGCUCGUAGGCGGCUUGUUGCGUCGGUUGUGAAAGCCCGGGGCUUAACCCCGGGUCUGCAGUCGAUACGGGCAGGCUAGAGUGUGGUAGGGGAGAUCGGAAUUCCUGGUGUAGCGGUGAAAUGCGCAGAUAUCAGGAGGAACACCGGUGGCGAAGGCGGAUCUCUGGGCCAUUACUGACGCUGAGGAGCGAAAGCGUGGGGAGCGAACAGGAUUAGAUACCCUGGUAGUCCACGCCGUAAACGUUGGGAACUAGGUGUUGGCGACAUUCCACGUCGUCGGUGCCGCAGCUAACGCAUUAAGUUCCCCGCCUGGGGAGUACGGCCGCAAGGCUAAAACUCAAAUGAAUUGACGG
rnacentral:rRNA from 1 species